AGCGAACGCUAGCGGCAAGCUUAACACAUGCAAGUCGAACGAACUCUUCGGAGUGAGUGGCGAACGGGUGAGUAACACGUAGAUUACAUGCCUUCCGGCGGGGGACAACUCAGGGAAACUUGAGCUAAUACCGCAUAUGCCCUUCGGGGUGAAAGGCUUCGGCCACCGGAAGAUCGGUCUGCGGCCCAUUAUCUAAUCCUAGUUGGUAGGGUAACGGCCUACCAAGGGUACGAUGGGUAGCUGGUCUGAGAGGAUGAUCAGCCACACUGGGACUGAGACACGGCCCAGACUCCUACGGGAGGCAGCAGUGGGGAAUAUUGGACAAUGGGCGAAAGCCUGAUCCAGCUAUGCCGCGUGUGUGAUGAAGGCCCUAGGGUCGUAAAGCACUGUCGGGAGGGACGAAGGACUUCGGUCUUGACGGUACCUCGCAAGAAAGCACCGGCUAACUCCG
rnacentral:rRNA from 1 species